UCAGUUUUCGUGCCCUAAUGCGCAGUUAUCAGUAACCGACAUCACAUGAACCAGUUAGAACUCAUGGUGAAUGAGAGGGUCUGUGAAAUAACACUGUCAUUCUUAUUCGUUUUAGCACUAUGUACAUCAGAGGUUGAAAUGUGAAAUGGACAUAAGUAUUUGAGUUCACAGGAUAUUUUUUAAUUCAAAGAAAAUGACGAUUGAGAGGAUACCCUAUAUGAAAUCAUUCAUUCUCUUGAUUAUCAUGGAAAGUGGAUUUUUUUCAAGUGGGUUAAGAGAAUUUCCAGUCUUCACCGUUGAUGUCUGUCCUAGCAACAAAACUGAAUGGGAGGCGGCAUCUAUGAGACUGAACUGUACAAUGAAAUCUAAAGAUUUCAAGAAUAGAUACCACUGUGUGGCCACCAGAGACCGAUCACAACUGGUGGAGUUCUGUUAUCCACAGAUCAGGAGUAUAUAUGGAAAAGGUUAGUAUAUCCUACAUCAUUCAAG